rnacentral:lncRNA from 10 species
GGGUGGGGGUGGGUGCAGGAAGGGGCCUGUCAGUGGGGUAAUUUGGCUGUCUGCAGUAGGCCACACAGAAGAGCGGCCUGAGGGCAUUUCUCCCUCUAAAUGGCUUGGAAAUUGUGAUCAAUAGCUAGCAUAGAUGUGAAAAUAAACACAUACAGCAAAUUACCAAAGCACUCAUCAGAAUGUUUUAUUACCAAAGCUCUCAUCAGAAUGUUUUUUAAUUCCAUGAAAAUGCAGGACUGCUUGUGAAAAGAUUAACACCAAAUGUAAUUAAAUAGAUAUUUUGUUUUUGUUUUCCUGAACUGGCUUCAUCCAUACAGAUGGGGGACAGCAUACAUCAUAUCAUUCCAAGCUCUUCAGGAGAUCCUAGGAAUACUGACAUUUAUUUUAUUUGCUUUGAGAAUGGAAGUUGGUUUGCAUUUAUCUUAAGAAAAAAACAUUGAAAAUAUAAAUCAAAUAAAAAUAUAAUUUUAAGCAAGUAUAAUGAAGCCCAUUGUAAGUUGACUAUACAUCAUGUCUUUCAAAAUUUCAUACAGAUUUAGGUAUAGAUAUUUUGAUGUUGUCUUUAACCAGCUGGCCUUCCAAUAGAGAAGAAAUACUAGCUUUAAUUUAUUGUAGUUUAGAAACAUCAUACAGGAAUUGAGAAAGCACAAAAAAAGUAGGAGACUCUUGAAAGGCUAGCAACAAUGAAAGGGUAGGAAAAACUGUUCUUUAAAUUUAGGUACCUGUAGGUCAGAAGAAGAGGUAUACUGUCAAAAUGAGAUAAAUGAAAGUACAAUUUUGUGCCAUGUGUAAAAUACAUCCAUAAAAGCUAGAAAAUAAUAAUAAUGUCUGAGUUCCUUGGUAAGUGGUAGCAGCAGUGACUACAAGUGUCAUGGCUGACGUAAGGAAGACGCAAUCGGAAGAACAAUUUCACUGUGCACUCCUUCCUCCACCCACAAGCAGAGAAAGUUCUCAGAACGUUUUCAUUCAUACCUGUUCUAAAGUCUGAAAUUACAAGGAGCUACAAGAGGGACAGCCUAGGUAAGCACAAAGUACAGUACUAUUAGAAGAUGGGGGGUGGGCAGAGUAAGCAGGUUGGACAGAUUGGUUUGCAGUAUUAUUAAAUAGGGUGGUCAAGGAGGUCUCACUAACAAGGUCAAAUUUGUGUAAACACUUGAAGUGAGGGACCCAACCAAAAGAUAAAAUCUGAGGGAAGAACAGUCCAGGAGGAGGGAACAGCUGGAGGGAGCAAGAGCCCCAGAUGGUUUUAGGAGGCAGAUCUCUCAGCCCUCAGUUGAAGUACCUUUUUACUUUCAGAUAAUUUACAAAAGUCCAAUGUAACGAUUAAGAAUGUAGGACGUGAAAUACUAGUCAGCCAUAAAAAGGAAUGAAAUAGGCCAGGCGUGGUGGCUCAUAUCUGUAAUCCCAACACUUUGGGAGGCUGAGGCAGGCGGAUUGCCUGAGGUCAGGAGUUUGAGACCAGCCUGGCUAACAUGGUGAUACCCUGUCUCUACCAAAAAUACAAAAAUUAGCCAGGCGUGUUAGUGCACACCUGUAGUCCCAGCUACUCAGGUAGCUGAGGCAUGAGAAUUGCUUGAACCUAGUAGGCGGAGGUUGCAGUGAGCCGAGAUGGCGCCAUUGUACGCCAGCCUGCGUGACAGAGCAAGACUCCGUCUUAAAAAAUAAAAGGAAUGAAAUAAUGUCCUUUGCAGCAACUUGGAUGGAGCCACAGGCCAUUAUUCUAAGUGAAGCAACUCAGGAAUGGAAAACUAAAUAUCGUAUGUUGUCACU